rnacentral:rRNA from 1 species
UAUUGCACAAUGGGGGAAACCCUGAUGCAGCGACGCCGCGUGAGUGAAGAAGUAAUUCGUUACGUAAAGCUCUAUCAGCAGGGAAGAAAAUGACGGUACCUGAGUAAGAAGCCCCGGCUAACUACGUGCCAGCAGCCGCGGUAAUACGUAGGGGGCAAGCGUUAUCCGGAUUUACUGGGUGUAAAGGGAGCGUAGACGGUACGCCAAGUCUGAAGUGAAAUGCCGCAGCUUAACUGCGGAACUGCUUUGGAAACUGGCGGGCUAGAGUGCGGGAGGGGUAAGCGGAAUUCCUAGUGUAGCGGUGAAAUGCGUAGAUAUUAGGAGGAACACCGGUGGCGAAGGCGGCUUACUGGACCGUAACUGACGUUGAGGCUCGAAAGCGUGGGGAGCAAAC